GGAUGUGAGGGCCCAUUGACCACCAGGGUUGAUUCUGCUGAUCUGGCUGGCUAGACAGGUGUCCCUUCCUCCUCACCACUCCAUGUGAGUCCCUUCCAGAGCUGCACACGUGGUCGAAGGUGACAUAGAGGAGGAACCAUGUUCGGUCAAGGGUGUACGUACAAGUAGCUGUGAUCCCCUGCUAGAACCUCCAAACAAGCUCUCAAAUAAAUAAUUUAAACAAUGACCAUCCCAAGUGCACCCCACAAAAUAACCACUCUUUU
rnacentral:snRNA from 1 species